rnacentral:siRNA from 1 species
UGGAUAUGUCUAAUGUCUCAG